AGUGAACGCUGGCGGUAGGCCUAACACAUGCAAGUCGAACGGCAGCACAGUAAGAGCUUGCUCUUACGGGUGGCGAGUGGCGGACGGGUGAGGAAUACAUCGGAAUCUACUUUUUCGUGGGGGAUAACGUAGGGAAACUUACGCUAAUACCGCAUACGACCUACGGGUGAAAGCAGUGGAUCUUCGGACCUUGCGCGAUUGUAUGAGCCGAUGUCGGAUUAGCUAGUUGGCGGGGUAAAGGCCCACCAAGGCGACGAUCCGUAGCUGGGCUGAGAGGAUGAUCAGCCACACUGGAACUGAGACACGGUCCAGACUCCUACGGGAGGCAGCAGUGGGGAAUAUUGGACAAUGGGCGAAAGCCUGAUCCAGCCAUGCCGCGUGGGUGAAGAAGGCCUUCGGGUUGUAAAGCCCUUUUGUUGGGAAAGAAAAGCAGCAGGUUAAUACCCCGCUGUUCUGACGGUACCCAAAGAAUAAGCACCGGCUAACUUCGUG
rnacentral:rRNA from 1 species